rnacentral:rRNA from 1 species
GGGGGGGGGGUGCCUAAACUUGCAAGUCGCACGUCCUGCCUGGUUUCGGCCAGGCAGGGAGUGGCGGACGGGUGAGUAACACGUGGGUAACCUACCCCCUGGUGAGGAAUACCGACGAGAAAUCGUCGACAAGACCGCAUACGCUCUCUCGCAAGAGAGCAAAGCUGCUGACGCGAGUCGGUGGCGCCAGAGGAUGGGCCUGCGGCCGAUUAGCUAGUUGGUGGGGUAACGGCUCACCAAGGCGACGAUCGGUAGCUGGUCUGAGAGGACGAUCAGCCACACUGGGAUUGAGAACGGCCCAGACUCCUACGGGGGGCAGCAGUGAGGAAUUUUCCGCAAUGGAGGCAACUCUGACGGAGCAACGCCGCGUGCAGGACGACGCGUUUCGGCGUGUAAACUGCUUUUCUGGGGGACGAGCAAGGACGGUACCCCAGGAAGAAGCCCCGGCUAACUACGUGCCAGCAGCCGCGGUAAUACGUAGGGGGCGAGCGUUGUCCGGAGUUACUGGGCGUAAAGGGCACGCAGGUGGUGCGGCGCGUGUCGCGUGACAGCGGGUGGCUUAACUGCCCGAGGGUGCGACAGACGGCCGGACUUGAGGGCCAGAGAGGGACCUGGAAUUCCGGGUGGAGUGGUGAAAUGCGUAGAUAUCCGGAGGAACACCAAAGGCGAAGGCAGGGUCCUGGCUGGUGACUGACGCUGAGGUGCGAAGGCUAGGGGAGCGAACGGGAUUAGAUACCCCGGUAGUCCUAGCCGUAAACGAUGACCACCAGGCGUGGGAGGUAUCGACCCCUUCCGUGCCGGCGUAAACACACUAAGUGGUCCGCCUGGGGGAGUACGGUCGCAAGAUUAAACCUCAAAGGAAUUGAACG